AGAAGAGAAGUUUUGUAUCUUUUUAGUUCCACUGUAUAAACUUAAUUUCAAGGCACACUGCAAAAAACUGGAGGAUGAGCAACACAAAUAAACACAGUGCAUGGAUGCUCUCUUAUUCCUCGGCAUUCUUGUUUCUGAAGGGGGUUCUCUAAUAUAGAGGUCAGAGAAACCCUCGUAGGCCAAAUGAAGGUUCUAUUUUACAUAACCCUGCUGCCGACAUCAUCAUAUUCUGAAGAAUAUUUGCUCACUAUGCACUGAUCGGGACAGUCGACUUGGUUCGCGGCGACGGUUUCUACGAGAAGACGCGCGGCGGAAGCUCUUACGAAGAGCCACAAGUGUGCUUUGCUCAGGGCACUGAGAUCUACAAACCCUCACUGAGAACGUAACCUCCUGGCGGACAAUCAGCCUCCACGAUUCCCAAGUCGCCUCUUUUCCAAGAGAUGAAGGGACUGCUUCGGUGUUGAGAUCAGGCGUGAUUGGGAUUAGAAGGUAGGACCCCUGCCCUAAAGGAGAUGACAAUCAAGCCUGGAAGACAGAUGCGAAAUAUAUUUCAGCUAAGAAGAGAAUGGAAAGGGCGCGAUCAAGGAGCCACUAACUCACUGAAGAAGUCAUCACGGAGGCACGUCGGCAUCGACUACAUCUUGUUGAAAUCACCCCCCCGUAAUUCCUCUUCCUAAAGGAUUCCACUAAAACCUCAUUUUCUUUCCAAUUACCGCUGCGUGGCCGAGACUCUGAAACUGCUUAAAUCCCAAGUGCGGUAAGAAUCCUGGGGACUCGGAGCUGAGUAUCAGUUGAAAAUGAGAAAACGCAUCCAUACGGCAAAGUAAAAACAAACAUUUUAGUCCUCA